AGUGAACGCUGGCGGUAGGCCUAACACGUGCAAGUCGAACGGCAGCACAGGAGAGCUUGCUCUCUGGGUGGCGAGUGGCGGACGGGUGAGGAAUACAUCGGAAUCUACUUUUUCGUGAGGGAUAACGUAGGGAAACUUACGCUAAUACCGCAUACGACCUACGGGUGAAAGCAGGGGACCUUCGGGCCUUGCGCGAUUGAAUGAGCCGAUGUCGGAUUAGCUAGUUGGCGGGGUAAAGGCCCACCAAGGCGACGAUCCGUAGCAGGUCAGAGAGGAUGAUCAGCCACACUGGAACUGAGACACGGUCCAGACUCCUACGGGAGGCAGCAGUGGGGAAUAUUGGACAAUGGGCGCAAGCCUGAUCCAGCCAUACCGCGUGGGUGAAGAAGGCCCUCGGGUUGUAAAGCCCUUUUGUUGGGAAAGAAAUCCAGCUGGCUAAUACCCGGUUGGGAUGACGGUACCCAAAGAAUAAGCACCGGCUAACUUCGUGCCAGCCGCCGCCGUAA
rnacentral:rRNA from 1 species